rnacentral:lncRNA from 10 species
CCUUCCUUCCUUCCUUCCUUCGUGGGGUCUCCAUGUCACCCAGGCUGGUGAGCAAUGGCGUGAUCAUGGCUCCUUCCUUCUUCCCUCCCUUCCUCCCUUCCUCCCUUCCUUCACGGGGUCUCCAUGUCACCCAGGCUGGAGAGCAAUGGCAUGAUCAUGGCUCACUGCAGCCUUGAAUUCCUGGGCUUGAGUGAUCCUCCCACUGUAGCCUCCUGAGUAGGUGGGACUACAGGUGUGUGCCACCAUGCCCAGCUAAUUUUUUUGUUUAUUUUAAAGAAGGGGUCUCGCCAUGUUGCCCAGGCUGGUCUCAAACUCCUGGGCUCAAGCAAUUCUCCUGCCUUGGCCUCCCAAAGUGCUGGCAUUACAGGAGUAAGCCACCGUCCCCCGCCCUACAUUUUUUUAAAAAUUAAAUUUUUAUUUUUUUGGAGACAGAGUCUUGCUCUGUUGCCCAGAAUGGAGUGCAGUGACACCAUCUUGGCUCGCUGCAAACUCUUCCUCCUGGGUUCAAGUGAUUCUUGUGCCUCAGCCUCCCGGGUAGCUGGGAUUACAGGUGCGUGCCACCACACUCAGCUAAUUUUUUGUAUUUUUAGUAGAGACGGGGUUUCACCAUGUUGGCCAGGCUGGUCUUGAACUCCUGACCUCAAGUGAUGUGCCCUCCUUGACCUCCUAAAGUGCUGGGAUUACAGGCAUGAGCCACCAUGAUCGGCCCUAAAUUUCUUUACUAUCUACACUAUUCUACCCUAAGAUGCCAAUGUCUACUGAGACUCUCCAAAACAGGCACAGAUUAUCCAGCAUUUCCCCAGCUUAGAUGGUCAUUUUUUUGUGGGAUGCCUGUUAACAUCUCCCCUGGAUGUUAAUGUUCUGAGGAGCAUGGUUUGGGAAAGGACCUCGUGGGACUUACAGGAAGUAGAAAGAUGUCACCCAUUAAAGGCCACCACGGUAAGAACAUUCCUCUCCUUUUAGCAGUUGCUUAAGCUGCACAAGUUGGAGUAAGAUGUCACCCUUUUUAUCCAGGUCAUUGGGUUAGCUGACAGGGAGCCAAGAUUGAAAUCUAAGAUCUUUGCCCUGCAGGAUUCAGGGCUAAUGGACAUCCUGAGAUGGGAGGAAGGAGCUUUCAUUACAGCCUUGUGGGUCUUGACUCACCAGUCCCUGCAGGAGCCAGUGGAGUUCCUGCCAUGGUGUCCCUGAGGAGGUGUAGCUUCUCACCUACCCUGCCGCCAAGCCCCUCAGUCUGGGUCUUCUUUUCCCAUGCAGCCUCCAGCCCAGGCUGCAUACUAUGGCUGUGGCCCAGUGACACCCACCCAGCCUGCCCCCAGGUGGACAUCCCAGCCACCUAGACCUUCCUGUGAGUGACCCAGCCCCUUCCACUCUCAGACUGGCCUAUUGGUGUGGGCCCCGUGAGGCAGUCAUAACACAGGGAUGAAACCUGGCUCUGCCACUUCCCAAGGUGGGUGACUUCACUUCUCUGAGCCUCAGUUUCCUCUUCUGAGCAUGGGCCUGAAUGAGACGUGUGUAAAGUACCAAGCACAGUGGUGAGCCAAUGGAAGACACGCAGCUAGCCACCAGCAGUCAUCACCAAAGAUGCCUCUGAUUUGUGACUCUGAAAAUUCUUGCAAAGCUGAGAAGGUGAAAUUCCUCUGGCUAUAUUGUUGACCAAAGGCCCUCCUCUGUAAGAGUGAAUUGCACGCUCACUUGAAACUAUCUUGAGGGACUAAGGUGUACAAUCCUGGUGCUUAUGCAGUUUGGGGCUCUAGGUAGACACGAGCUGGCUUUGAAAUUGUAGAUUCCUACACUCCCCCUUUCUGGAGUUCUGGGUCUAAGUGAAUUGACUCCUAUUUCUGUUGUGAAUGUUGUAGUUUCCCUUCCCAUUCUCUUGGUGGCCCUGGAAGCUUCUAGGCACAGUGUGCCACCCUGAUUAUUCCCACCACUCCAUCCAACUUUUCUCUCUCUGUGGUGUCUGCACCACAAGCUGCCUACCCUCCAGGUGCCUCAAUGGUCCGGCCACCAGUUGUGCCUCGGCGCCCCCCGGCCCACAUCAGCAGUGUCAGGCAGGCCUCCACCCAGGUGCCACGCACGGUGCCUCAUACCCAGAGAGUAGCCCUUGGCAACUGCCAUUCUACUUUGUCUCUGUGAAUUUGACUGUUCUUG